rnacentral:rRNA from 1 species
GACGAACGCUGGCGGCGUGCCUAAUACAUGCAAGUAGGACGCAGUUGCGAACGGGUGAGUAACGCGUAGGUAACUACCUAUUAGAGGGGGAUAACUAUUGGAAACGAUAGCUAAUACCGCAUACUAGUAGAUGGACCUGCGUUGUAUUAGCUAGUAGGUAGGGGAAUGGGCUACCUAGGCAACGAUAGAUAGCCGACCUGGGAGGGUGAACGGGCAAAAUGGGAAUGGGACACGCCCCAACCCCCAAGGGGAGGCACCAGUGGGGAUUUUGGGCAAAUGGGGGAAACCUGGACGAGCAAAGCCGCGUUAAUGGAGAAAGGUUUCCGGUCGUAAAGCUCUUUUGGUAAGGAAGCGGUACUUAACCAGAAAGGGACGGCUAACUACGUGCCAGCAGCCGCGGUAAUAC